UACGUAGGUGGCAAGCGUUAUCCGGAAUUAUUGGGCGUAAAGCGCGCGUAGGCGGUUUUUUAAGUCUGAUGUGAAAGCCCACGGCUCAACCGUGGAGGGUCAUUGGAAACUGGAAAACUUGAGUGCAGAAGAGGAAAGUGGAAUUCCAUGUGUAGCGGUGAAAUGCGCAGAGAUAUGGAGGAACACCAGUGGCGAAGGCGACUUUCUGGUCUGUAACUGACGCUGAUGUGCGAAAGCGUGGGGAUCAAACAGGAUUAGAUACCNUGGUAGUCAAGGGCG
rnacentral:rRNA from 1 species